UAAUGACUAUGAGAUAUAUCUGCUCCUGGCAGCAUCAAUCUACUUCAAAGGAGAUAAUGAGCAUUGAAGAUACUCAAUGAGGUAUUCACUUUCUUUGUGGCAAAAGUUAGCCACUGGGCAAGAAAGUGGCCUUACAUCAACUGCUGACGAUAUGCUGUCCAAAUGGACAAAAGCAGGAUACAAAAGAAAGGACUGUUGAGCCUUGCAAAGACAAGUUUCCUGACAGGAUGGGGGAAGAGUAUUCAUAGCUAUUCAAUAUGCAUCACAGCUUGAAAUGCCUGCAGCAGAAUCUGGAAGAAGAGAAGUUAUACAGUUACCCAGCAGGGAUGCCUCUUUGCUGUCUCAGGCUGGAUGCCUGUGGCAACAGUUGCAAUAGGAACAGCCCACCUGGAAGUCUUCCUGUCAGCAUCAUUGGAUCCUGGGCACACAGAGUUUUCUGCUUUUCACUGAGUUCUGGAUAGCUAGUAAGCAUUGUUAGACUUACUUGAUGGGGGUGAUUUACUGUAAUCUGAAAGUGCAGUGGAAGAGGAAGUAGAAACUGAAAAUUUCCAUGUGAUUGGUGUCAAAUGGUAUCUGAGGGACUUAACAUGUGACAUAGAUUGUAGAUAUCCAUCUAAGAAAGAUCCCGAAACAUCUACACAUUGUCAGUAACAUCUUAGACAACAUCAGUGCUCUAGAAGCAAGGAAGUUCCGUGCACAGAAUGAAGCAUGAUCAAGCAUGCCCCACGCCACUGUAAUAGUGCAACUAGCCCAUCAUAAAGGAUAAGGGCACCAUCCGUGUUGUGCCACAAAACACACAUGCUUGUUUCCAUACAACAAACACAAAUGUGUGCCCACAUUCAUACAUUAAAAACAUGUAUGUGUCUACACCUUUG